CUGCUGAGCCCACAGAGUAGCUGGGAUUACAGAUGCGUGCCACCUCACCCAGUUACAUCUUCCUGAGGAUAGAGCCUACAUAGAAGUUCAGCAAAUAUCUGGUCUUUUCCACACCUGGGAAGAUGUGGGUAUAGGCCACUAUGUGUUUUCCUUUCAAAAUGGCAAGAAUUUCUGACAUGACAUGGGAAAAGCUGAAGAAGUCAGUCUUUGGGGUGUGUUUUCAUCUAGGAGGUGGCUUGAGAUGGAUUCAUGGCAAAUCACAAUAAAUUAUUUAUCAGAUAA
rnacentral:lncRNA from 10 species